UGUUAACAAAAAGAUUUAAAAGAACUUUUCUCAGAUUUUUGCAUUUACAUGAACAAUGUGAGAUCUGUAGCUGGUUACACUAACAUGCAUCUAUUACUCUUUGAGGCAUUGUAGUUUUGUGGUUGUGACAUCUUAACGCUAGCUGAAGCAGAGCAUUUCGGGCAUCUUUAUCUUCUUUAUCUGCUUAACUUCUGUCUGUUUCCUGCACAGCAGCUUCUGAAGGCUCUUCCAUCCAUAUGGAUCAUGCAAGACACCCACAGCAAACCAUGCUGUGCAAACAUGAUGUAGCACUGAGAGAAGAUGAAGCAUUUGUCUUCCAGCCUCCUCUUUGUCCUACCUGGGAUCUGACCAGUUCUUGCAGCAGUAUGGGAUAACAGUUCUCACCUGCAGAGGUAACUGCUGGAUUUGAUGGCCUACUGCAAGGGUCUUGCUUUCCCACUCAACAGCAACAUAAAGCAAACAUGAACUGCUCUGCAAAGCAGCAUCCCAGCAGCAGUGCAGUCUUUGGCAGCUUAGACUGGUUUGGGAUACAACGUUUGAUAUGCAAACACAAGUGACUGGUCUCCACGUGGUGCAGACAUGGCACAGUGGACUAAAAAUAAACGAAUAAGAAACAUGGAUGCUGAUUGGGGGGGAAGCCCCCAACCAUCGAAGGUAGACCUCAGGCAACAAAACCUCGAAAUGAUUCUACCUGACACCCUGCUCUAUGGAGAUAUUGGUUCUACAAAAUUCAAAGAAUCUCACAAUGCCAUCUGAAAAUGGAACAGAAAGAAGCAGCUCUGCCAUUACCUUUACAUACAGGCUGUCUGGGACGCAUCACCGUGGCGGAGCAGCAGGCUGCUGCCUUCCUUCCCAGGAUCCUGGCUUUUUCCCAGGGAAAACCUAUUUCGUGGCUUAUGGUUUUUAAUUGAGACCAUUUCGAUUUGUUGCUGAUUCUGUUUUGAAGACACUGUUUCCAUCAGCAUGUCUUAAUAUACUAAACGUGUCCCCUAAGCCCAUCCUUGAAGCUUGGCGCUACGAUUCCCUGGUACAACUUUAUGGUUUGGAAGACUUGUGUACACACACAUUCCCGACGUAGCAGAGUCCCCUACAACAACCAGGAGCUACAGUUAUAAUUUCAGCGUAUGUUUCAAACCUGAAGCGGGACAGAAGUCACACAACUGGAAACAAAACAGCUCGUGAAUGGUGAUUUAUUUACAGAGACUGCUUCCAGCAGGAGAACUCAGUCUGCAUCCCACGCUUCCAUUGGAUAUUCAACAAGGGGUGAGGUACGCUGGGAAUACAAAGGACUAGUAGAGAAGAGCUGGA